GCACUACAGAGGGUAGUGAGUACGGCCCAGUACAUCACUGGGGCCAAGCUUCCUGCCACCCAGGACCUCUAUACCAGGCAGUGUCAGAGGAAGGCCCUAGAAAUUGUCAGACUCCAGCCACCUUGGUCAUAGACUUUUCUCUCUGCUACCGCACGGCAAGCGGUACUGGAGCACCAAGUCUUGGUCCAAAUGGCUUCUUAACAGCUUCUACCCCCAAGCCAUAAGACUCCCGAACAGCUAAUCAAAUCGCUACCUGGACUAUUUUUUUAUUUAACACUUAUUUUUAUUAAAACUAGAUUGUUGGUUAAGGGCUGGUAAGUAAGCAUUUCACCUGUUGUAUUCGGCGCAUGUGACAAAUAACAUUUGAUUUGAGAUGUGAGUAUGGGGAUAUGGAGAGUUUAGGGAGUGAGAAGGUGUGGAUGUGAAUAUGGGGAUAUGGAGAGUUUAGGGAGGGAGAAGGUGUGGAUGUGAAUAUGGGGAUAUGGAGAGUUUAGGGAGGGAGAAGGUGUGGAUGUGAAUAUGGGGAUAUGGAGAGUUUAGGGAGGGAGAAGGUGUGGAUGUGAAUAUGGGGAUAUGGAGAGUUUAGGGAGUGAGAAGGUGUGGAUGUGAAUAUGGGGAUAUGGAGAGUUUAGGGAGGGAGAAGGUGUGGAUGUGAAUAUGGGGAUAAGGAGAGUUUAGGGAGGGAGAAGGUGUGGAUGUGAAUAUGGGGAUAAGGAGAGUUUAGGCAGGGAGAAGGUGUGGAUGUGAAUAUGGGGAUAUGGAGAGUUUAGGGAGGGAGAAUGUAUGGAUGUGAAUAUGGGGAUAGGGAGAGUUUAGGCAGGGAGAAGGUGUGGAUGUGAAUAUGGGGAUAAGGAGAGUUUAGGGAGGGAGAAGGUGUGGAUGUGAAUAUGGGGAUAAGGAGAGUUUAGGGAGGGAGAAGGUGUGGAUGUGAAUAUGGGGAUAGGGAGAGUUUAGGCAGGGAGAAGGUGUGGAUGUGAAUAUGGGGAUAUGGAGAGUUUAGGGAGGGAGAAGGUGUGGAUGUGAAUAUGGGGAUAGGGAGAGUUUAGGGAGGGAGAAGGUGUGGAUGUGAAUAUGGGGAUAGGGAGAGUUUAGGGAGGGAGAAGGUGUGGAUGUGAAUAUGGGGAUAUGGAGAGUUUAGGGAGGGAGAAGGUGUGGAUGUGAAUAUGGGGAUAGGGAGAGUUUAGGGAGGGAGAAGGUGUGGAUGUGAAUAUGGGGAUAUGGAGAGUUUAGGGAGGGAGAAGGUGUGGAUGUGAAUAUGGGGAUAUGGAGAGUUUAGGGAGGGAGAAGGUGUGGAUGUGAAUAUGGGGAUAUGGAGAGUUUAGGGAGGGAGAAGGUGUGGAUGUGAAUAUGGGGAUAUGGAGAGUUUAGGGAGUGAGAAGGUGUGGAUGUGAAUAUGGGGAUAGGGAGAGUUUAGGGAGUGAGAAGGUGUGGAUGUGAAUAUGGGGAUAUGGAGAGUUUAGGGAGUGAGAAGGUGUGGAUGUGAAUAUGGGGAUAUGGAGAGUUUAGGGAGUGAGAAGGUGUGGAUGUGAAUAUGGGGAUAAGGAGAGUUUAGGGA